GCCUGACUCUGCCUGUCCUCAUAAACUGUAAUUAAGAGCGCGGACCUGAUUUAAACUCCAUAUUUUUAGUAAGUAACGUUCCAGCAAUAAAACAGAGCUUUUAACUUGAAAGAACGAAAUCUGUUUUAAUGAUGUAAAUAAACAUCACUGUGACAGCGCUAGUCACAGUUUCACCGCAGCAAAGCCUGUACUGAUUUCUGCCCCCAAUAACCCGUUCAGUAACUUCCAAUAGCCUUUAAUAGUCUUCAGUAGCCUUCAACAGUCUAACCUGGCGGUCGUGUCAACUAAACUCCGUAGUUAUAAACAUCCUGAGGUGAAUAAAUAUUUGAUAAGGAUGUUUUCUGUUGCUGCUUGGGGCAAAAACCAAGGAUUCCCAGCAGAGCAAAAUGAAACUAUAGUCUGGCAUCCCCGGGCUCCUACUGCCAGGGCCCCUACUGCCAGGACCCCUACUGAAAGGUCCCCUACUGCCGGGGAACCUACUGGUGGGAUCACUGUAGUGGUUGACACGGCGCGUUGGAGAUAUCAGAAACAGUCGAGAAAAACAAUCGGGCACUUCCUCGCCGGCUGUCUAAGUAUUGCAUCACCACUGAACAAUUCCAAUCCCUUUUUUGGAUGUCAACAUCUGUAUUCGGUGAAAAACUCUGCGUGGGCAAAUGUAAUCAGUGUUGUAGCUACAACAAUCCUGAUUGUUCUACUGCUUUUUGACUUUAUCAUGGAUUUUGGAUAUGAGUGCAGCGGAUUAUGGGAUUAUGACUGCAUAGAAGCUAAGCACCGGAUUCAUGUGCUCACAGGAUUCCUGACGGUGUUCACGUUCUUUGCCUGCUUCAGCUCCGUAAUGUUCUUAGGGAACAGAUUAAAAGGCUACUGCCCCGAAGCAACGGGAUCUGUUGUCAGUAUGCCUCCAACCCAAUCAGCUGACUCUUCAAUGCCCACUGCAUUCCAAGAUCCCGCCGGUCAUCAGGAAUCUGUUGUCAGUGUGCCUCCAACCCAAUCAGCCCACGCUUCAGCGCCCACUGCAUUCCAAGACUACACAGAUCAACGGAACUCGUGUUACAGUGAUUAUGGAACAACAGCGAUGGAUGUGCACAACACAUGUUCAGACGAUCCUCCAUCAUACGAUGAAUGUGUCCAAACAGACUGGCAAUGAAGAAGUUCUGAGAAGUCCUGAGAUGCUGUCAAGAUGCUUUUUUUCAGGUUAUAACCUCUUAAAUUAAUGUAUAUGUAUAAAUGUUCAUCACUGCUGUCAUAUUGAUCCCUUAAAUGUGCACAAUUUUCAUUAGAAUCUUUUCCAGCAUUUAAAAAAUGUGAGUAUUGCAAAACAAAUGGCCAAAGGGAAUGACUGUAAGUCAUGUAAGUGUACUGUAAAAAAAAACUAAGCGCCCUAAGUGCUGAACAAUAGUCGCUGCUUUUUUUUCACACUGUGAAGCUCCAGCUCAUCCCAAAUCACCAUCUUAGCUUAGGGUUUAGGUCAGGAGAUUGUGGAGAGUUAACACUUAUUUUGUUAACUACAUAAUUCCCUAUUUGUCCAUUAAUUGAUUUUAUACACAGUCUUUUAUAUUACAAUUCAGAAUGUGUUACAAUUCAGAAAAUACAUUAAAGAAAAAAAAAACAAGAAAAAACAUUAAAUGCUAAGGUGUGUCUAAACUUAUAUAUUACACGUAUUGCUUUACUGGUUGCGUUGUUGCCAUAUUGUUUAAAGUGUCUGUGUCAUUUGUGUCAUGUUGUAAGUUUUGUUGUAACUUUUGCUUUAAAUAAACUUAAACCUGAAAAUUCUCUUUUAUUUUUU
rnacentral:lncRNA from 1 species